GAGGGGACCUAAGAGGAGGGAGGACUUUCCAUGCUUGUUCUUUUUUUUUUUUUUUAAUUAUUUAUUUAUUAUACGUAAGUACACUGUAGCUGUCUUCAGACACCCCAGAAGAGGGCAUCAGAUCUCAUUACGGAUGGUUAUGAGCCAUCAUAUGGUUUCUGGGAUUUGAACUCUGGACCUUCAGAAGAGCAGUCGGCACUCUUAACCGCUGAGCCAUCUCUCCAGCCCUCCAUGCUUGUUCUAAGUGAUUUCUUCGAGUCCACUUUCUAUUCAGCUAACUCUCUCUUCAGCCGUGUCUAAUCCACUGUUCCAUGGCGGCGGCUUCAUUUGUGUCUCCACAUGUCUGCUGCCUUCUUUGUCAAACCUUCAUGUCACUUUCUAUGGCUUUUUAUUUUCUAUGUCAAGUUAUUAGUUCUUUAGGCAUGUGAUUCCUAGGUGUGUGUGUGUGUGUGUGUGUGUGUGUGUGUGUGUGUGUGUGUGUGUGUGUACAUGUGUGCAGAAGCAUAUGGAGACCAGAGAGUGAUGUCAGGUCGUCAGUCACUCUCCACCUUAGAUAUUUAGGAAGGAAUAUGCUUCCUUACAUACCCAGAGCUUGGAGGUCGGUGGGUGCCGGCCCAUGCCUGGCCAAGGUGGUCACUCAUAGUGCCAUGGACGGACCAGUGUUUGAGUCACCGGCCAGCUGCAUUUAGUCAAUGUGUUGGCUUUUUGGGUGCCGUGUUUGUUUCCUCAGCUUUGCUAAAUGGCUGUCAACAGCUUCAGUUUCCUGUAGAUGUUCACAUGUUCACGGCCAAGCAAGAGGGACUGGGUUGGGGACAGGUAAGGUCAUGUCCCUUCCUUAGGAAAGCGUAGGUUUUCUGACUUCCUCCAGUAGAUUCCCCCACCCCACCCAUAACACAACCCCACUGCUCAGGAUUGAGAUCCAAUGCAGAGUCAGGGCAGCUGCAGAGGAGGCUGGACAGACUGCGAUUGACUGGGUGUGGAGGCCUUGGGGGUGACUGAGUAUGGAGUACUUGAUGGCACAGUUGCAUGAACUGGGUCAGUGCCCUGAGGCGAUUUGCCUCUCUCUUCUUGCCUCCAUGCGUCCCCUAGACACUUCCAGGUGCUUAACAGUUGCAAGCUCCCUGCUUCUGCCAGGAUCAGUUUCUUGGAUGUGUGACCUGGGCAGCCACACAGUGACCCUUCCUUGGAUCAGAAGCACCAUGGCCUUGAUGCUUUGUGUGACAUCUUGACACUCUAAGGGAUCCCACAAGGGUUGCUCACUGGAGCAUGGGCACCUUACCAGAGUCUGCAUCCCUGAAGAAAAUCCCUCUCCCUCCCACAUCGGCCAUGAACUGCAUAUAAAUCCUCCUGAAGGUCAUUUUUAGCAGGAUGGAGUCUUCCACCCAUGAGCUGCAUGGAUCUCUGCGGGGACCCUUCAGCAUCUGCAGCUUUCUGGAUGCUGUGACAAAAUACCAGUCUGGCCGAGAGGUGGUGGUGCACACCUUUGAUCCCAGCACUCAGGAGGCAGAUGCAUGUGGAUCUCUAUGAGUUCAAGGCCAGCCUGGUCUACAGAGUGAGUUUCAGGA
rnacentral:lncRNA from 1 species